GGCUCCCCCGAGCGAGAGACUUGUCCUUCCCGAGGAUAAGCAUCCCUGUGUGGGAGGCCUGCAGCCUGGCCAGCAGCCAGGUCUGUGUGUGUCGCCUCAUGGAGGCUGCUUAGAGCCCUACUGCCACCUUUGGGUUUUAUCAGCUCCAGCUCGGGGCCUUGACUUUGUCCUCAGACAAGCAGCUCGUUGCCGGCCCUGUUCAGAGCCCUGUGGUGGGGACAGAACUGCCACGGAGCAGACACAGACAGCUCUGUGCCCAGGACUUUGUGCAUCGCUGCAGCAGGAGCCACGGGAGGGAUCCACACACGGAGACCCAGGCUCAGCGCCACCUCUGCAGCCCCCACCGGAGGGUGCAGCGCCAGGGCUGUUGCCAGCCACCCCACGGGAAACGGGCAGGUGAACCACAGGAGCAGAGUGACCAAACAGAAAACAGACCCUGCUUCUGCCACCUGAGCAAGUCAGUACCCUCCCAAGCCUCGGUUUCUUACAGAAUAGAUCUGUGAAGAGAAGUUAAUGAGCCAUCUUGCAAAUGUGGCGCUGGGCAGCUCCUCCCAGCACAGGGCACCUUUGCUGACACCUCAAGGGCAGCGGUUGGGCACUGAGUGAGUGGUGGUGCCCACCAAGAGUCUCGACCCUGUGGACAGAUGAGAAAGCUGAAGCAUGGAGGUGAUGAGUAAUCUAACCAGGUGACACCUGGAGAGGAGGGAUUUGAACUCCAAACUGUGAUUCCAGUGCUGCCCCGACAAGCGAGUGUGAGAAAGUUCUCAGUGAGCUGAGGGAGCUUGAUCUCCUCAGGGUAAAACUUGGUGGCCCUUCUUUCGGUAGCCCAGAGACCUCAGGCGGAGGGGAGGUACAGCAUGAAAAGAUGUGGGAUGGAAAAUGUCAGCGUCCAUGGACGGAUGGAGUAACGGCAUACUCAGUUAUGCACUCCAGGUGAAGUGGUUAGCAUUUGAAGAAAGUAUAUAUACCAUGGAAAACUGGUCAGCCUUUAAAAUAAGGGUAUCAUGUACUUCCAGGGCGAACUGAUGGCCAUUAAGUUAAGUGAAAUAAGCCAAAUAAAAAAGGCAGGUGCUGCAUGAUCUCACACUCACAUGUGGAGUAUGAGAAGCCAGACUGUAAAACCGCACUUACCAGAAGCUGGGGUUGGUGGACACACUGGAGAGAUGCUCGUGAAAGGACACAAAUUUCAGUAAGGAGGGAAAAAGCUCUGGAGCUCCAACUCCUUCAUGGCGAGUAUGGUUAAUAACAAAAGGUAUUUGAAAUUGCUAGGAAAAUUGCUUUCAAGGGUUCUCACCACAGAUAAAUACGUGAGGUGACACAAAUGUUCAGUAGCUUAAUUUCACUGUUCCACAGCAUACACGUACCUGAACACACAUGGUACACACGGUAAAUAUAUACCGUUAUUUGUCAGUUAAGAAGGAACCGAGUUACUGCACAUCAGAACCCUGUCCCUGUGAGAAGCAGUAAACACCAGCAGAUUACUCAUGCCAGCCCUUCGCUGGUUAGUCAGUCCCUGAGAGUUGCUUUAUUUCUUGUCAUUCGAGCCACAGCCCAGUUGAACAAACUGCAGGUCUCUUGGCAGCAUUCAGGCCCUGCCUCCCUGAGGAUUGCUGAACUGGAGCUGGGCUCUGAGGGCGGGGGAGAUGCCGCCUCCUGAGUGCCAGGCCGCUCUGGCCCUGGGCUUGGCAGCCCGUGAUGAGAGCCCCAGUCCCUGCCCAGCAAACCUGCCGCUCCCUUCUUCUGGCACUUAGCAGCCGGUCUACCCUGUGGUGACUCAGGGACCCAAUUUAGCGCAGUUCCUUAGGGGCAGAGACUGUUUCUUCCAGAUCAGCGAACAGUGUUCUGCCUCAGCCCUGGGUGGGCGGUGAGGGCACCCUGGAAGCAGAGCCUUGCUCCUAGGACCCGUGCUGCCCCUUGGCCGUGACAGCUGAGGAGGCGGGGGCCCAGGGACAGGAAGUCCAUGUGGGGAGGGCAGAACCCUGGUGCCUAGGGUAGGGGAGCUGAUUCCCUGAUCAGAACCGGCACUGAGGGGAAAGGGGAAGGCGUUCAGGAAGUUCGGGUGGCCAGGAAAGCAGUGAGCAUCACAGCUCCAGCCCCCUCAUCCUCCCUCUGGCCUCCGUGUUCUGUCUGAUGCCAGGCAGGCCCCACCACUGCUGCCUCACUUCUGUCCCAUGAAGGGGACAGAGCUGGGGACCUGCUCCCAGGGGCUGCCCGAGGCUCAGUUGUGCUCGGGUCAAGGAUUUGUUUCUUGUUUGUUUUGUUUUUUACUAGUUUAUAUUAUGGUCCUAAUUUUUUAAAGUAACGCUAACUUUGUAUGUUUGGGUUUUUGGGGGGUUUUUUAGGCACAAUGAUCUAGUCAGGUUGUUAAGUGAAGGCAGCACUGAAAGGUCAUUAAUUUGUGUCAGAGGGGUUUUUUCCCCCUCCUCAAAAUUAUCCCGUUAACACUUUUAUUAGAGGACCUGUCUUCUCUUUAAACUGAAGCGAUAGUGACUUUAGCAGUCUUGAGUUCUGCUCCAUGCUCUGGUGCAGCUUCGGACAGGUUCUCUGUGAGGCAUCCAGUGCCCUGUGGGCCAGCGCUCUGCGUGUCCCGCAUCAGUGGGGACACGUCCGUCCCCAGGCAGGGCCCAGCUUUCCCGGAGGUUCCUUCUCUGUGGUUCCAUCUUGCUGAAGAUCAGGGACGGUCCCGCCCAUGAGAGCAGCCUGAACGUUCAAGGCUGGACAUGGUCAUUGGCUCUGCCCGUCAGGGCCGCUGUCUUGGGGCUGCUGAGCCCGGCUUCUGCCGUGGGCCUCCUGCAGUGAGGGGUGACCUUGGCCACUGGUUUGUGCCUGGACACCAGGUCUUCACUCUUCUGCUGGGAAGAAGUGGGGCUCUCUGUGCUCAUCACACCCUGGGUGUCCAUAUGGACUCGGUAUUCCAGUUCGGGUGAACUCCUCAAUCCUGACAGUUCCCACUCUUGAGGGCUCUGCCAGCUGCCUGGAAAGGAGCAAGCCCCACUGGCCCACUCCCCUGCAAGUCCAGCGAGCUGCCCAGGAGUGGCACAGAGGAGGCCCUGCUGACCAGUGUUUUCUGGGGUGGUUCCUCGUGCUUGUUCCCCUCUACAGUCACAGAGACGUGCCUGGUGCCAUCCUCUGACAGCGGCCUGCCAGGACCUGGAUGGGCUCCUGGGAGUGAAAUGCAGACCCUCUGUCCUUCAAACUCUUCCUCAUCACUGGCAUCAUUGGCAUCAUAGCAGCCCACCUUCCUCCGGCUGGCUGGGGUGUAGCUCAGCGAUGGAGCCCGUGCCUAACAUGCUCCACGCCCUGAGUUGAGUGCCUCUACUGCCAGAAGAAAACAAACCUCUGCUCCUUCAGCGGUGCAUCACUUCCCACCAGGUGCUAUCAGUAUGUGGCC
ensembl:lncRNA